GCCUUCGUGGUGUAGUGGUCAGCACGUUCGACACGUAUUCAAAAGGUCCGUGGUUCGAGUCCCGGUGAGGGCA
rfam:Stegodyphus mimosarum contig4307, whole genome shotgun sequence.